rnacentral:rRNA from 1 species
UCUCUAAGCAACGGAUGUCUUGGCUCCUCACACGAUGAAGAACGUGGCAUAAUGUGUUAAGUAACCGGAGUUGCAAACAUCAUGACGGGUUAAUCUUUGAAUGCAAAUUGCGCUUACCCGACUUCGGUCGAGGAGCAUGCGUGUAACAGUACAACAUAAUUUAUAA